rnacentral:lncRNA from 1 species
AACAAAGAGACGGUUAGGCGCUCCUGUUAAGAAAGUGGUCAGUAGUGAUAACGUUUUUAGAUAGAACUGGACUUCUCAAUGGAAUUUGCGCAACUUUGCUUAUCUAGAUAUUUUUCUGGUUUUU